CUGGUCAUUAUGAGCCUGUAUACUCCACUGGUGCUGGUGCCCUUUGCCCUCAUGGCCUUUCUGUUUGCAGUCUGCUGUGAUGACAGAGGGGUGUUGUGGUUCAGUGUCAGCUGUCAGGCUGCUUCCAGCCUACUGAUGCUUGUGGGCCUCUGUGGGGCUCCACUUUAGCUAUGUGUCAUUGGCUGGUAUGACAGCAGGGUACUAUGUCUGUGUGUUUGUUAAUGCUGAGCUUGCUACAGCAGCUGUACUGACCUGGAUGACAGGGAGGCGGGAGCUAAGAGAUGAGACGACAGCCUAUGAUAACUAAUAACCCAGUGGAGAGGCUUGCUGGUAACCAACAUGGGAUUGUCAAGUCCUCCCUAGUGUUCAAAUAAGAGGAAAUGUUCAGCAACCCCUAACUGACCUCUCUGCAACAGUUUACGUUGGCAAACAUUUGUUUGCUGGUCAGGAAAAACAAGUCAACUUUUGAUUUGUUUAUUUCAAGUUUUUCAAUGUGUUCAACAUGAUCAACCAAAAAGGUGUACAUUUUAAAUGACUAUGUCUAUAUAAUGUUUUUGAAAACAUACUAUUCAUAACUUUAUUUUGUCUUUUCAUGUUUGUGUUCUGUUCUGUACAUAAUGUAUAUUUUUAAAUCAAAUUAAGUUUCCAAUAUGAACUCUGAUACAGAGAUACUUUGACCACUACUACUAUAGUCCUACUGUAUUGUGGUCGGCAAUGUUGACAACAAAAAUGCUACAGUAAUUUUAAUAAAUCAACCACUAGCCUAAGUAAUUCAAAAAGAUAUUGCAUACCUUCUGGCUAACUGUCAUGUUCCAGUAAAUGAGUGUGAUAACAAUGAUUAUUAGGUGAAGUAGGUUAAGUUAAACCACCAAUUUUGCUCACGAGUCUCAAAUGUACAUGAUGUAUUCGUCAACAAUGUUGCAAAAUUGUGAAGUGCAUGACAUGCCUGUUGAUCAUAAGCCUAUCAUAAGAGUAUGUUGAUGGUCAACAAAGAUUUCUGUAAUUUCUAUAUGAAUUUGGUCAGGUCGCCAAAAAAGUGACAUAUUACAGCUUUUAAAAAGAAAUGUCAUCAAUAAAGGUGCCUUUAGAAUAUCCCGGUAGUCACAUUUUAUUCUUCAAUCACAAUUAUAUAUAUUUUUUGUUUCUAUUACAAAGUAUGUCAUUGCCCUUUUAAUGCUCUUAAUAAAGGGGAAACUAUCUUGCGCAGUUGCGCCUAAUAUUGUACACAUCAUUAGUUGCACCUAGUGAGCCAGU
rnacentral:lncRNA from 1 species